GAUGAACGCUGACAGAAUGCUUAACACAUGCAAGUCGAUGGGGAAGUGGUGCUUGCACCAUGGCAACCAUGGCGGACGGGUGAGUAACGCGUAAGGGACUUACCUGCAGGACUGGGAUAACAGGGGGAAACUCCUGACAAGACCGGAUAAUGUCAUGGAGCUGCAUGGCUUUAUGAUGAAAGGAGACGCCUGCGGAGAGCCUUGCGUCCCAUUAGCUAGUUGGUGAGGUAAUGGCUCACCAAGGCGAAGAUAGGUAGCCGGCCUGAGAGGGUGGACGGCCACAAGGGGACUGAGAUACGGCCCUUACUCCUACGGGAGGCAGCAGUGGGGAAUAUUGGACAAUGGGGGCAACCCUGAUCCAGCAAUUCUGUGUGCACGAAGAAGGUUUUCGGAUUGUAAAGUGCUUUCAGCAGGGAAGAAGUAAGUGACGGUACCUGCAGAAGAAGCGACGGCUAAAUACGUG
rnacentral:rRNA from 1 species